ACAUGCAGUCGACGGUAACGGGCCUUCGGGUGCUGACGAGUGGCGAACGGGUGAGUAAUGCAUCGGAACGUGCCCAGUAGUGGGGGAUAGCCCGGCGAAAGCCGGAUUAAUACCGCAUACGACCUACGGGUGAAAGGGGGGGAUCGCAAGACCUCUCGCUAUUGGAGCGGCCGAUGUCAGAUUAGGUAGUUGGUGGGGUAAAGGCCUACCAAGCCGACGAUCUGUAGCUGGUUUGAGAGGACGACCAGCCACACUGGGACUGAGACACGGCCCAGACUCCUACGGGAGGCAGCAGCGGGGAAUUUUGGACAAUGGGCGCAAGCCUGAUCCAGCAAUGCCGCGUGCGGGAAGAAGGCCUUCGGGUUGUAAACCGCUUUUGCCAGGGAAGAAAUCCUUUGGGCUAAUACCUCGAGGGGAUGACGGUACCUGAAGAAUAAGCACCGGCUAACUACGUGCCAGCAGCCGCGGUAAUACGUAGGGUGCGAGCGUUAAUCGGAAUUACUGGGCGUAAAGCGUGCGCAGGCGGUUGUGCAAGACAGGUGUGAAAUCCCCGGGCUUAACCUGGGAAUUGCACUUGUGACUGCACGGCUUGAGUGCGGCAGAGGGGGAUGGAAUUCCGCGUGUAGCAGUGAAAUGCGUAUGUAUGCGGAGGAACACCGAUGGCGAACGCAAUCCCCUGGGCCUGCACUGACGCUCAUGCACGAAGCGUGGGGAGCAAGCACGAUUAGAUACCCUGGUAGUCCACGCCCUAA
rnacentral:rRNA from 1 species